UAGGGAAUCUUCCACAAUGGACGAAAGUCUGAUGGAGCAACGCCGCGUGAACGAUGAAGGCCUUCGGGUCGUAAAGUUCUGUUGUAAGGGAAGAACAAGUGCCGCAGGCAAUGGCGGCACCUUGACGGUACCUUGCGAGAAAGCCACGGCUAACUACGUGCCAGCAGCCGCGGUAAUACGUAGGUGGCAAGCGUUGUCCGGAAUUAUUGGGCGUAAAGCGCGCGCAGGCGGCCUCUUAAGUCUGAUGUGAAAGCCCCCGGCUCAACCGGGGAGGGCCAUUGGAAACUGGGAGGCUUGAGUAUAGGAGAGAAGAGUGGAAUUCCACGUGUAGCGGUGAAAUGCGUAGAGAUGUGGAGGAACACCAGUGGCGAAGGCGACUCUUUGGCCUAUAACUGACGCUGAGGCGCGGAAGCGUGGGGAGCAAACAGGAUUAGAUACCCUGGUAGUCCACGCCGUAAACGAUGAGUGCUAGGUGUUGGAGGGUUUCCGCCCUUCAGUGCUGAAGCUAACGCAUUAAGCACUCCGCCUGGGGAGUACGGUCGCAAGGCUG
rnacentral:rRNA from 1 species